rnacentral:misc_RNA from 1 species
UUUUUUUGGAUUUGGAUAUGUAUUCAACUCUAUCAUUAAGGAUUUAAUGAAAUUCCUACCUUUUGACAAAAAAGAAAAAGAUCUAACUGAAUUGGAAUUCAGUUUGCUCACAAUUAUGCUUUUUCGUUUUGGUUUCAUAUUCAGUUUCCUUUUGGCAAUUUUAAUUUGGUUCAAUCCUUUUACAAUUUUAAUAUUUUUGUUUUAACUCCAAUUUUUAGUACUGUUCUCAACCAAUUUGAUUCUCGCUGAACUUGAUUUGGUUCCAGUUUUCAAUUUUGAUUUGGUUUGGAUCAAUCCAAAUUCAAUUUUUAUUUUUGAUUCCAAUUAUAGUUUAACCUGAUUUUGAUUUCAG